GGCCUUUGUGUUGCCCAUUCACUUUUGAAACUAGUGGAUGUGGUGUCAAAAAAGGCAUAAAUUAAAUGCUUUGCAGCCUUUUCCUGCCCUUAAAUUGGGUAUCUUUGGUGUAGGAGCUGCAUAAGAAACAAUU
ensembl:snoRNA